AGAGCCUUUCCCCAGAAAUCCAGUGUUAAGAAGCAUUUCCUCUGUAGAGUUUCACAGUUCUGGAUCUCAUAUAUGACAGUGUAGCUGAAGAGUGGAAAGGCAGCUCUUUCUCUGGACCUUCUUCAGGCAUCUUUCAGCAGUAUACCAGGAUGUGAUACUGUUGUCUCUCUCCUGCCAUCACUGUGAACGGUUUGGUGUGUGAACAGCUGUGCACACUGGUGUGUCUACUGGAAGACUAUGAGAGAAUGAGCACGGCCUAAAGAGGACCUUGUAACUCUUGUUACCUUGGAAAUCCACUGUUGUGAUCUGCUCUUUGCUGGGUUCUGCUGUAUCUGCCCAUGUGGGAAGAUGAAACCUGGGUGGAUUGGCCAGAAAUCUAAACCUACUGCUGGGUGGAGGGAAUCAAUAAAUCAAUAUAAACCUGCACGACAUUGUUUCUGUGUAUCAAGAGGAUAAGGGGAAGAAACAUGCAUUCUGUCUAGAAAGAG